AACAGAAAACCAUUGUCAGCAUAAUGUUAUGCCGAAAUGGAUUUAGUUACAAAGUCGGAAUCCUAAUUGUUAACUGUUUACAACUAUCUGUAUAUUUGGAUACAUUUACUGCACUUCAAGUCAAUGAUUCUGGGGUGUGCCCGAAACCAAAUGGAGACGGCACAAUUUAUGUGACAUGCUGUCAGGGGUAUUUUUAUGAUCAAGCAGAUGACAGAUGUACAGUGUGUCAUGCAGGGACUUUUGGAGAAAAUUGUAAAGAAAUUUGUGCACCUAACUUCUAUGGUGUUGCGUGUAAUUUUGCCUGUAAUUGUAUGGAUGGCGAAAGGUGAGA